GUCCCUGUAGCGCAAUGAAUUGCGCGCGCGCGUUGGAUUUCUAGUCCAAAGGUCGUGCGUUCGAAUUCCAACUGGGAUG